UCAUUGCCCUUCCCUAAAUCAACUCUCAACUUCAACCUCCUUCUCUGAAUCUCAGUUGAAAAUCAUGUCAGACCUCCCCAACCCUCUCUACGAUUUAAUCAUCCUCGGCGCCUCCGGCUUCACCGGAAAGCACGUCGUGAAAGAAAGCCUCAAGUUCCUCAACACCCCAUCUUCACCUCUCAAGUCUCUAGCUUUAGCCGGCCGCAACCCCGCAAAGCUCUCCCAAACUCUCAACUGGGCCACCGGCCCAAACCCACCUCCCUCCAUUCCCAUCCUCACCGCCGACACCACCGACCCUCCGUCCCUCCGCCGCCUCUGCUCCCAGACCCGCCUCAUCCUCAACUGCGUGGGCCCCUUCCGCCUCUACGGCGAACCCGUCGUUGCCGCGUGCGUUGAGACCGGCUGUGAUUAUCUCGACAUAUGCGGAGAGCCGGAGUUCAUGGAGAGGAUGGAGGCCAGUUAUUUCGAUAAGGCGGCGGAGAAGGGCUCGUUGGUCAUUUCGGCUUGUGGGUUCGACUCUGUUCCGGCGGAGUUUGGGUUGAUGUUUAACUCAAGGCACUGGGUGGGGGCGGCAGUGCCGAGUAGAGUGGAGGCUUAUGUGAGCUUGGAGUCCGAGAAGAGAAUUGUUGGCAACUUCGGGACGUUUGAGUCGGCGGUGUUGGGUGUGGCUAAUGCGGAUAAGUUGAUGAAGCUCCGGCGGUCCAGACCUAAAAAGCCGAGGCCGGAGAUUCCUGCUUCUCCUCCUUCCAAAGGACCAACUAUUGAACACCAGAAAAAGAUCGGCCUUUGGGCUGUGAAGCUACCUUCAGCAGAUUCUACCGUUGUACGAAGAACACUUGGAGCUCUGACCGAAAAUCCCGGUGGUCUUCCAGGGAGGAAUGAGAGUGAUGAACACAUUAAAAAAAGAGAAGCCUUCUGGUCAACAGUGAAGCCAGCUCAUUUCGGGAUGAAGAUAGGCACCAAGUCUCUGUUGGGCAUUUUUCGGAUCAUGACAGUUGGAAUUUUUAUUGGGCUCUUGGGUCAGUUUUCCUUUGGGAGGUGGCUUCUCUUAAAGUAUCCCCCAUUUUUCAGUGUUGGAUUGUUCAGGAAGCAGGGUCCCUCCGAUAAGGAGGUGAGAAGUGCAUCUUUUAAGAUGUGGUUUGUUGGAUGUGGUUUCAGCGACAGGAGUCUUGCUUCUCAGGGAAACACAAAACCUGAUAUGGAAAUAGUAACAAGAGUUAUGGGACCUGAAGUUGGCUACAUAACAACCCCGAUAAUUCUACUUCAGUGUGCACUUAUUGUUCUGAGCCAACGCGACAAUCUUCCAAAGGGAGGAGUUCUCCCACCUGGGAUUGUAUUUGGCCCAACUGAUCUCCAAGAAAAGCUACAAGAAAAUGGAGUUACUUUUGAUGUUAUUUCAAAGAAUGUUAUUUCUCAUUAACAGAACAAGGGAGGAAAGUACUCCUCCGGCUCAGGGCAGUUCUAUUGGGCUAUUUCACAAAGGGCUCGUCUCUGUCAUCACCAUCUUGGCCGUGUUCUUCAAACAAGAACCUGUAGAAAAAUACAUCUCUAACUGUCACCUUCUAGAGCUCCUAUACUCAUCCCGAUAUCCCAACUUAGUGAAUACAGUUAGCACUGUGUUCGGAAUUCAUCAUUGCCCCAGCUCUUAUAUCUUAUUGAAAGAUAAAAUGAUAGCAAUGUACAUCAGCUUAAAGCAAAGUAGAGCAGUUUCAAUGUUUCAUCACUUUGGUGGUGUCUGUGGAAAAUUGAAUGAGCUGAUUAGGAUUGGCGGCGGCGGGACAGAGCAUGAAAGCUAAGGACCAGAGCCACAUCAAUGAGCUACCUCAGAGACUUCAGUUUCGCGGAAAAGAGCGGGAGUUAUCAACUUUUGAGUUUUGUCCGGACCACGCUGGCCCACUAUCGCCUUAACGGCCCCGAUAGUAUGAGUCGAGCUCAAUCAGCC